rnacentral:rRNA from 1 species
AUGACUUCAGGAACCAUGCAAAAAGAACUUGCUAAAUAUUGUGCAAUGGCGGUCAGCAAAGCAAUCAAAGAAGAGAUGGGUGGUUGUCUUUUCACUGUUCUUAUUGAUGAGUGCCGUGAUAUUUCAGUGAAAGAGCAAAUGGCUGUGGUUGUCAGGCUCUUGAGCAAAAAAAGGGAGACCAUUGAAAGAUUUUUGGGUAUCAAGCAUGUCCCAGAUACAACAUCAACAUCUUUGAAGAAGGCUCUAUUGGAGGUUUUUGGUAAACAUGGUUUGCUUGUUGCAAAAUUGCAAGGGCAAGGGUAUGAUGGUGCAUCUAAUAUGAGAGGAGAAUUCAACGGCCUUCAAAAGUUAAUCCGUGAUGAGAAUCCAUAUGCUUUUUAUAUUCACUGCUUUGCCCACCAACUACAAUUGGUAGUUGUUGCUGUUUCAAGAUGCUGCAAGGGUGUUGAGGAUUUUUUUGAGUAUGUGACCAUGAUUGUCAAUGUCAGUGGUUCAUAUUGCAGGAGGAAGGAUAAAUUGCUUGAUAAGCAAAAGCAGAUUCUUUUGGAUAAGGCAGGAGGGUUGGUUCAUCAAAUGGAGACAUUCAGCUUUGUGUUCAUCCUAAAGAUGAUGUUAAAAAUCCUUCGUAUGACAAAUGAUCUAUAUCUUCUAUUGCAAAAGAAGGAUCAAAAUGUUGUUCAGGCUAUGUCAUUGGUUACAGAUGUGAGAACACGUUUGAUCAAUUGGAGAAAUGAUGGUUGGGAGCCACUCUUG